rnacentral:rRNA from 1 species
UACGAAGGGGGCUAGCGUUGCUCGGAAUCACUGGGCGUAAAGGGUGCGUAGGCGGGUUUUUAAGUCAGGGGUGAAAUCCUGGAGCUCAACUCCAGAACUGCCUUUGAUACUGAAGAUCUUGAGUCCGGGAGAGGUGAGUGGAACUGCGAGUGUAGAGGUGAAAUUCGUAGAUAUUCGCAAGAACACCAGUGGCGAAGGCGGCUCACUGGCCCGGUAUUGACGCUGAGGCACGAAAGCGUGGGGAGCAAACAGG